rnacentral:lncRNA from 1 species
GCACGACUUGUUCUUGCCUUCUAAAGCAGAGAGGAGCUUUUGUGGGUAGUUCCUACAGGGAUACAUGGUAGAAAAUUCACCAAACCCAGUGCUGGAGUGUUUCUCUUCCUCAGAAGAAAUCAGAUGCUGUUCAGAGCACGAAGGCUAGAAUUUUACCCUGGUUCUCAUGCUACCUUGCACCCAGGUUGGAUCCUGAGUACAGUUUUUGGCAGGAAGCCCCAGAGAGAUUGGUGAGGGUGAUUUCCCAGGAAGACGCAGUGUGCUCUGACUUCUGUGACAGUGAGCAACGGGACCAGUGGAUGUCCAGAUGCUGGCAAUGAGACAUGCUCUGGAGUCAGAAGACAGCGAAAAGAGAAGCAGAAGCCCCGGUGGCAAGAGUCUGAAGGAAGGAUGACUGUAGCCUGUGGAUUGUACUGCAGUAGGAAACUGUCCUAGCAAGGCUCCACUUUGCCCCAGCUUCAAGGUAUAUCGUCUCAAAAUGCAGGGGACUUCAGAUGAGUUUUGAGCACCCUUUCUUUUAUUAUAAAAAAAAUUCCAGACAGUUCAGCCAAUACUGACUAAGGGCUGAGACCAGUUCCAUGCUUUUCUGUCUCCAGAGGAAUUUGCUUCCAUCUGGAUGCCUGAAACGCUGGAAAGGAGGAGAACAUGAAACAUUGCUUGAAGACAAUGGCCGAGACAGCAGGUCCCACCCUGCACAGCCACCAGCAUCUCUCCCCUCAGCCCUGUCUCCUCUUCUGCAGUUGGGAUCUGCACAUUUAAGCCUGAAAUUGUCCUGUGAA